GUCUACAGCCAUAUCACUUUGGAAACACCUGUUCUCGUCUGAUCACUGAAGUUAAGCAAUGUCGAGCCUAGUUAGUACUUAGAUGGGUGACCAUUUGAGAAAUCUAGGUGCUGUAAACA